GAGUAAUGUCUGGGAAACUGCCUGAUGGAGGGGGAUAACUACUGGAAACGGUGGCUAAUACCGCAUAACGUCGCAAGACCAAAGAGGGGGACCUUCGGGCCUCUUGCCAUCAGAUGUGCCCAGAUGGGAUUAGCUUGUUGGUGAGGUAACGGCUCACCAAGGCGACGAUCCCUAGCUGGUCUGAGAGGAUGACCAGCCACACUGGAACUGAGACACGGUCCAGACUCCUACGGGAGGCAGCAGUGGGGAAUAUUGCACAAUGGGCGCAAGCCUGAUGCAGCCAUGCCGCGUGUAUGAAGAAGGCCUUCGGGUUGUAAAGUACUUUCAGCGGGGAGGAAGGUGUUGUGGUUAAUAACCACAGCAAUUGACGUUACCCGCAGAAGAAGCACCGGCUAACUCCGUGCCAGCAGCCGCGGUAAUACGGAGGGUGCAAGCGUUAAUCGGAAUUACUGGGCGUAAAGCGCACGCAGGCGGUCUGUCAAGUCGGAUGUGAAAUCCCCGGGCUCAACCUGGGAACUGCAUUCGAAACUGGCAGGCUUGAGUCUUGUAGAGGGGGGUAGAAUUCCAGGUGUAGCGGUGAAAUGCGUAGAGAUCUGGAGGAAUACCGGUGGCGAAGGCGGCCCCCUGGACAAAGACUGACGCUCAGGUGCGAAAGCGUGGGGAGCAAACAGGAUUAGAUACCCUGGUAGUCCACGCCGUAAACGAUGUCUACUUGGAGGUUGUGCCCUUGAGGCGUGGCUUCCGGAGCUAACGCGUUAAGUAGACCGCCUGGGGAGUACGGCCGCAAGGUUAAAACUCAAAUGAAUUGACGGGGGCCCGCACAAGCGGUGGAGCAUGUGGUUUAAUUCGAUGCAACGCGAAGAACCUUACCUGGUCUUGACAUCCACGGAAGUUUUCAGAGAUGAGAAUGUGCCUUCGGGAACCGUGAGACAGGUGCUGCAUGGCUGUCGUCAGCUCGUGUUGUGAAAUGUUGGGUUAAGUCCCGCAACGAGCGCAACCCUUAUCCUUUGUUGCCAGCGGUCCGGCCGGGAACUCAAAGGAGACUGCCAGUGAUAAACUGGAGGAAGGUGGGGAUGACGUCAAGUCAUCAUGGCCCUUACGACCAGGGCUACACACGUGCUACAAUGGCGCAUACAAAGAGAAGCGACCUCGCGAGAGCAAGCGGACCUCAUAAAGUGCGUCGUAGUCCGGAUUGGAGUCUGCAACUCGACUCCAUGAAGUCGGAAUCGCUAGUAAUCGUGGAUCAGAAUGCCACGGUGAAUACGUUCCCGGGCCUUGUACACACCGCCCGUCACACCAUGGGAGUGGGUUGCAAAAGAAGUAGGUAGCUUAACCUUCGGGAGGGCGCUUACCACUUUGUGAUUCAUGACUGGGGUGAAGUCGUAACAAGGUA
rnacentral:rRNA from 1 species